UUCACGUCAAAGAUCAAUCACGCUGGUCACAACUGAGCCAAUUUUCUUCAAUAAAAAUUAAACCUAAAACACGGAGGAGAAGGCCGGAUUAUCAGUUGGCUUGGGAAGCUUAGGCAAUUCGCAAUCCAAUUUGCAUUUGCAUAUCAAAUAGAUCAUCAUCAACCUGUCUAUCUGAUGCAUGCCGUGCGCACUGGAGCAGUGGCUGAUAGGGUAUCGAUUAACCGAAAGCAGAAGACAGUUUGCGAUUUAAUCAUGUUUCCGACUAAAGUGAAAAUGGGUGGAUACUAACUCAUUGAGCGAUUAUUGAGCCGGUGCAGGAGAGUUACGUGCGCAGUGUUGGCGAGUGUACGAUGGGGGAAAAGUGCUUUGUGAACUUUAUUUCUGUUAAGUGAGAAUGUUCGAGAAGAACCAAGCUAUUUGAAGGUGUUUUACCUGCAACUUCGGAUAUUGUAAAUCGGCUCCAAUUUGAUUGAAAGUUGCGAUUCAAAUCAUUUACGAAUAGGCAUCUGUUCUGUAACGAAGACGUUUUAAUAAAGAAAGAUAAUUUCA